AGCAGUGCUCUGGGACAGUCACAGGCAGACAUUCAACAUCAGUUAGAGACAGCGGGGGCUGAGUCAGCCUUAGGAGUGCUCGGCGAACCUUCUGCCUAAGAUCUGCGGAGUCUGCCAGACAGUGAGUACCAUGCCCUACAGUGCCCCCCAAGAACAGAGAGGGGCUCAGGGGCACAUGAUGAGGGGAGGCCACCUCUGCAACCACAAGGGCACAGCAAGCUCUCCCACUACUACCCAGAGGCCAUCUGGGAGAGGAGGACGGAGCAGGGCAGAACUCCGGGUGUUUUUGUGAAAAAGACAAUCUUAAACUGAAAAGAAACUAUAGGAGCAGGGAGAGACUCACACAUUUCUCGCUCCCAUGUUUGAGUUUCCUUUCUGCUCUUUAAAUUGGAGAUGAUAUUUGCACCUACUUUGUAGGUUGCUGUGCAGGAGAAAUAAAUAUAUAAAGCAUUUAGAGUCUCACCUGACCAGUUGAAAUCAAUGCUGUAGCUGCUGUUGGUCUUCUCUCCCAGAUGGGUGGGGGACACCUGGGAAGACUAGGUCAGAUAUGAAAAAUAAGAGGUUACAUUGAUAUUGCACAUCUGAGUGCAGUGUGAAAACAUUUUGAUACCAUAUUACUUAAUAGCGACACUAUUUGAGUAGGGAUUUGUGGCUUACAAAGCACUUUUAAAAAUUGUGCCCUUGAAUUCUCUCAACAAUGUGGGAGAGGGGAGAUCAUGUCUACCCUUCAUUCACAGAUCUAGAAACUGAAGUUCAGUGAGUUUGAUGGCUGGACCACAGCCAUGCUUCUAGCAAAUGAUGAAGCCAGCUCUGAAAUCCAGGACUCCUCAUUCCAAGACUCCUUCUUUUUCAGCCCCAUCACCCCUGUAAAUUGCCUGAUUCUGCCAGAAGAUACUGGACCCUUCACCUACAUCUCCAGUCAUGAGACUUCCCUCCUACAGGGAGGCUUUUGUUUAGCUGGGCUGAAGUGCUGAGAAAGGGCCCCGGUGGCAGAGGGUCCCAAACACAUGUUAGUGAAAGAACAGCUUCCAUGGACUGCUGAGCAAGUGCUGGGUUCAUUCAUACAACAAUCCUGUCCAGCCUACUCCAAUGCAGUAUGAAAUUCUGGGACCUCCAAGGGAGCAAAUUACACAUAUACACAGGACCACAGUAGCCCUGAUUCACCCAAGAAUCUCCACUGCCACAAAAUGAGGAUACAACAAGGGGAGGACAAGUCAAUAAACAUUUCUCUAGCACUGGGUUAGGAGUCUUCUGUGUGUUAUUGAACUGUGAGAAGGCGUGUAAGAAAGAACAUGCCUUUCUUGUGAAAUGGAUUUUACGAUCUCCACUAUAGAGCUGAAGACCUCCAGGCUCACACCUGUGACAAAUUGGCCAGACUUUUCUGGCACCAAGGACUGCCCUCUUUCAUCAAGUUACCCAGCAGACAAUCAAAGGUGUCAGCUUUCUUCACCAAGGUUUGAUAAUGUUCUAGGGCCCUGGGGAGAGCAAGAGGAGCCUCCGGUAAAAUUGUGAAAUGAGUGAGGUUUGGAUUGGACUCCUUAUAGCAAUCUUCUUCCUACUCGGACAUCCGGCAAGUCCCUUUGCUGACCUCCUUUCACCCCCAGGGCUACUGGCAGAGAAUCCCUGAAAACCAAAAGGGUUGAAGAUGUUAUCUUUUCUAGAGGACACUCAGAGAACAAAAAGGCUUAGAGCUUAAAUUGUGGCAUUUCAGGCUCUAAGAGGGGCAGUGUCUACAAACACCUUAAGUUGCGUUCCCAGCACUUCCCCAGAAGGCAAAAAGAAACUACCUGGAGCACGUUGGAUAUGGGGCUCUAGUUCUGAGACUGAAAAAUCCCAGUUCUCUGCUGAAGUUUGAGGCAUUUAGAACAGCUCCCCUCCCGACCCAAAGGAUGAUUUACUGCAUGGAAGGAGGCUCUUCAGUAUCAUGUGCACAGUGCCACAGCAUUGUAUCUGCCGUCACACCCCGUAUGUUCAGUGCGGCCAUGAGAAAUCAAGGCAUAGGACUGGUGAAGCAUGAGGCACAUGCCCUCCCAAAUUGGGAGUAAAACAAUGUCCCAGGCACCACUACUUUCUUAAACAUUGCUCUGAAAGUGCUAGUCAAUAUAUUUACACAAGGCCAGGUGCAGUGGCUCAUGCCUGUAAUCCCAGCACUUUGGGAGGCUGAGACAGGCAGAUCUCCUGAGGUCAGCAGUUCAAGACCAGCCUGGGCAACAUGGUGAAACCCUGUCUCUACUAAAAAUACAACAAUUAGCUGGGCAUGGUGGCAGAAACCUGUAAUCUCAGCUACUCGGGAGGCUGAGGCAGGAGAAUCGCUUGAACCUGGGAGGCGGAGGUUGCAGUGAGCCAAGAUCACGCCACUGCACUCCAGCCUCGGUGACCGAGUGAGACUCCAGUUUGUCUAAUAUAAAAAUAUGUAUAUAUAUAUAGU
rnacentral:lncRNA from 1 species